CCUCUCCCUGUGCCAUCCUCACCAGUAUCCAGGCCUUCGACUCCAGAACAAGAACAAACAGAGGAGAGUCAGGAGUUGAAGGCCAUGAAUGAUGCUUUGAUGGAAGAGGCUAUGAAGGAAGAGAUUUCACACUUAAACCAGGAAUUAUUCCACCUCAGCCAAAGAGUCAGAAACAUUAAUCUCAAUGCAUUGAAUGAUGAAAGACUUGAGAACUUGAUUGAAGGUGUGUAAACAAUAUGUCAGCCUUCAUGAAAGAGUUUAAAAGAGACCACUGUGGCUCAAGAGGCAGAAGUUGAUUCUCUCCGGAGUUUUCUGCUUGAAGCCUUCGCCUAUGUUGAGAACAUGAGGGCAAGAAUAAAGCUACAAAAUAACCCUGAGUUAGUACAGUAUUUGUUAAGGGUAUUCUUUCUAAAAUAUGUCAUUCUUAACCCUUUUAAUGCCAGACAUUU